UGCAUAUCACCCUGAUUAGCCAAUGGGAAGGGUAGCAGAGGUACAGCUAAUUACCAUGUUUCUCUUUUAUUAGAUAGGAUUGAAACCGAUCAUUUUGAUAAGCCUUUAAAAUGGGAAAUAUAGAGCAUAAACUGGUAGAAAACAUUCAAUUGGUACAUAAAUUCUGACUCAGAUCUUUUCACUUCAGCGUGAUCUGCAUUGUGUGGCUCAGAAACAGAAGUCCUUUGGAAAAGCUGAUGGAUUUAUUGUGGUCAUUCAGAGUAUGAUGAUCAGCAGCUAAAGUCUUUGGAAGUAUUUGAUGCAGGAAAACUUGCUUGCUAAAAGUUCAGAGUGGAGUGAAUGGAGUAAGGAUUUUGGUGGUAUUUGAUGGCAUUAGGCCAAGGGACUCAGGGUUAGUUACAUCAUGCCGCAACCCACAGUCCUCCUGUCCCAUGAAGUAGGUGCCCAGAUAGAUCUAUACACACAGAGAAGAAGAUAAAGGGUAGUUUAUUUUCAAAGCUCUGAUGAGCUGACUAGAGCGAGAAACAAAAGGCCCAAGGAAUCUUCCCCAUUUGCUGCCUUCCUCCACCUAACCUCACACUGGGAUGUUCUGAAUCUAAGACACCCCUGACUGACUAUCCCUUUUUCAUAAGAAAAGAAAAAUUACAUUCAAAUGAAGUUACAUGUUAGUCCUCAAAUUAUACAUAUGGUUUAUUAUGUAGAAGAAGAUGGAGAAAACAAUUUGCCUUAAAAUCAACUAUUUUGAUCCCAUGCUUAAAAAAAAAAAAAGGAAGCUGGAUAGAUCAGGAGACUAUUAUUAACUUAUUUAUUAGCUUAUUUAUGCAUAAGAAACAUUUUCUUCCUUUUGUAUAAAUAUCAUUUUUAAUUUAAAAGAAGCACAUGUACCAAAUUGGCAUGGUAGAACAUUCAAGAAUUAUAAAAACAUAUAAAAUGUAAAGAAAGCCUUCCAGAUUCUCCAGAUCUCCAGUCCACCUCCCCUAAGGCAACAAAUAAAGAGCAAAUGUUUUAUGUGCCAUAACUAUAGGUGCUAGAAAUACAAGGCUAACAAAUUGUACAUGGUCCAUGCUGUUAGUGUUCAAGGGAGAGAGACCUGAAAUGCAAUUACAGACGCAUGUGCUCUGGCAGGGGAGUGCAGGGCGCUCAGAUGCUAGAGGAGAGAAGCAUGCAUGGUAAUGCAAUGAGGGAGGUGGAGUAAAUUGCCCAGUCACAGUUUGUGAAUUACAGAGACUGGGUUCCUGAACCAAUAUGUUUGAAUCAAAGCCCAUAUUCUUUCUGGGAACUGCUUGCAAUUAUCAGUGGGGUAUUCCACUUUCAGUUUCACUUUAUAUAAUGCCUCAAGAGAGAAGUUUACUAGCCAGAGGGAAUUUCCCAGCUACAAAAAGAUGGUGCUGGGUAAAAAUUUAUUAUUAUUAGGUAUUUCAUGGGAAAUUCCACUUUCCUUUGACAUUUUAUUUGGCAGGUUUUCAAGAGUGUGGAAAGCUAUGCUACUAGUCGCUCAUCUGCAUUUAACUUUCAGCCCCUGAAUUUAGCAGAAUAAUUUGAGCAAAAUAUACUAAGGUAUAUUAACUUUUUAAACCAAAACACACAUACGUUUUUUUUGCUUUGAAGUGACUGUGUGAAAGAGGUUGUAAGUUCAGCACUCUCUGUAGUGUCCUGUUUUGGGCAAACACAGACAAAGCUGUGGAAGAGGCAGUGCUGGCCAGGCUGUCCAGGUCAUGAGGGCAAAUGGUGUGGAAACUAUGAUUGAAUCAGGGCUCCCACGUCAGCAGCUGAACAGGGGCCAGAGAGCACUUGAAGGUUUGUUGGGAAACCAGGAACUCUCAGGAAGUGAAAUGGCAAUGUCUGCCCUGCCACCGCGGCCUUGUUGAACAAUUCCAGGGAUCACUGUCACACUGGGAGUGACAUGAAUGAGGCCCUGCUUACCUCCUGGGAUUGUUCUGAGUGGCUCAAGAUAUACAAUGACUGUAAAAGGUGUUUAUAAGUAAAUAAUAACGAUUCUUAUCUCCUUUACUAAGAAGGAAGAACACAGCCUCUCUCAGCUGGGAACAUGCCUAUCACUGUGAAUCUGUGAAGUCCUGUUGAAUAUAAACGUGGUCAGAGAACACCAGCCUCAGACAAGACUACUUUGUGAUGGCAGUGGAGCAAGAUAAAAUAAGGCCACUUCAUGAUCAUAUCUGAAAAGAUAAAUAAGAAAUAGUCCAAAACCCAAAAUGAGCACACAUCACCCUUUCCUGGCUAACAAUGAGAACCUACUGCUUCUUUACCAAUUGCAGCUUUAGCUUGAUUUCACUCCUCUCAUAGCGCAGAUAAGAAUUAAGAUACCCAAUCAGAGAAUUUCUCUUUCUUCCAGACAGCAUCCAGUGCAGGGAAGAUCCCCAAUUUCCUUGAAUGCUCCCAAAUUACCUAAGACAGGCUCUAUCCUGUAGUAAGUUCUUCCUAAUAGCCUCUUACUGAGAUACCCCAUGCUCCCCCCAGGGUGCACCUUUCUCCUUGCAGUGAGACAGGGAAGAGCUUUCUAGAGCGGCAGAUGUGCCCCUGGUGGUCUUUGGUUAGAGGACACUGACAAGUUCAUGGAGCAGUUAUUGCCCAGCCAAGAGCCCUCAUAUCUGCAUCUCGGUCAUUUAAUACCAAAAUACUAGGCACUAGAUCAGUGAUGGUGAACCUAUGACAUGCAUGUCAGAGGUGACAUGCGAACUCAUUUUUUUGGUUGAUUUUUCUUUGUUAAAUGGCAUUUAAAUAUAUAAAAUAAAUAUAAAAAAUAUGUCUUUGUUUUACUAUGGUUGCAAAUAUCAAAAAGUUUCUAUAUGUGACACGGCACCAGAGUUAAGUUAGGGUUUUUCAAAAUGCUGACACGCCGAGCUCAAAAGGUUCUUCAUCACUGCACUAGAUGCUACUCAUCGUGUGCAGAUGCAGAAACAGGCACAGCAAUGUUAAUUACUUGUGUAAGGUCCCACAGCUAUUCUGUGGCAGAGCCAGGAUUUGAACCAAGGAAAUUCCAUUGCUGCAUCUUGAAUCUGUUCAACUGCACUCAGGCAGUGAGACUUAGGAGAGAUGGAGUGUGAAUUAUGUUACAGGUCAACACUGUGAUAUGAAAAGUUGUUGUACAUGUGAGCAAGGAUAUGUUUAAAGGAGUUCAGUCUAGCAAUCAAAGUAUUGAUGUGUCUCUAGUAAUACUUUACUAGUUUAUUAAAGUUGUUAUGUACAUCAUUUUUAUUCUUUAAAAGUCUUUCUCAUAACAAUUUUGACUUGGAUAUAUAUUGAUAUGAACUGAACCAUUCCAGCGAAAAACUAUGGGGCUUUGGAAUCAGAUCACAUGAGUUAGAAGUCUCCUCUUUCAGUAACCGCAGUGCCUGACUUCGUUGGUAUUAUGUAAUUUUGACAAGCCUUACUCACUUCCUUCAUCUAUUAAAUAGUGAAAAAGUAUCUUUCUUAAAGCUAUUAUGAGAAUUAAACAGGACUAUGUAUAAGGCUAUACACAAUAUUAAUUUCCUUUCCCAAAGUAUUUGGGGCCUUGCCAAUUUUAGUUUAGUGAGAAUUAUCAAGGCUGGCUUAUGAAAUAUUGAAAAGUGAUUUGCAAAUCAAAACUAUGUGGCUAUACUUUACUUUCUGAUGCGAUCUCCAUGAAUACAAGGGCCAUCUCUGUUUUGUUUACCAGUGCCCAGGACAAUGAGUGAGCUUGAUGAUAGUGCACCCAUUUUCACUGGAGGCCAUGGGAGGAUGCUGUGUGGCCAGCUGAAGACUGCCGUUCUUAGGUUAAAAGCAUGCAGAAUUAUUAGUUCAGAACCAACUGAGAAGUGAGCAAAAGAGCAGUGGAGAUGGAGACCACAAUGUGAACUUCCUCCUGAAAUGUGAAGAUUAUGACUUAGAGCUAUUGGCAAGUGGGUUUCCUAAUCCUGACCUACCUAACAGGCAGAAGAGACCCAGCCUGCCCCGAGGAGGCUGCCCAUCAGGGUGCUACGUGGAGGAGCAGCACACAUUCUCUCGGAGGCAGGAAGAAUCCAAAGAGAAAAAAAAGAGAAAGGGGUCAGCCACUAGGUCCCCAAGCUCACAAGUCAGUGACCACAUUCCAUUCUCUCUCCUCCGGGUCUACAUAAAGAAGUUCCCACCCAGGAAAAAGCCCGCCAAAAGUCCUUUAGAAGCCCCUGACUGCCCUCACUGGGUGCUGGAGCCAUCCAGGCUCAGCCACCUGGUGUGUGGAUGAUCGAAUAAAUCCGUAAUCCCUCACCACUCUGGCCUUGUGUGUUCCUCCUUCAGCGACUUAACAUUUGGUGCCAAAACCCCGGAGGGUUCCAUGGGGAUGGGGAGCCAUCGUCCUGGCUUCAGUCACCCCGAGUUUGCUACUCAGAGAGCAGUAGGCAGCAGCAGCUCGUCCUGGGCUUAUCUCUGAAUCCUACUCAGGGAACUCGAUUGCUGGUCUUGAUUCAGCCUCUCUCCCUGUGGGCCCUCCCAAACUGGGGUAGAGGAGCCAAUGGAGGAGCCUAUGGAGGAGCAGUAGGCAGCGGCAGCUUGUCCUGGGCUUACCUCCAAAUCCUUCUGGUGUGACUCGAUUGCCAGCCUUGAUCAGGCCUCCCUCCCUUACGGGGUCUUCCCCAGCCAGCUGAGGAGGAUGCGGACCGGGAAUCUCUCCUUCUCCAUUGCUGAGCCUCCAUCCCACACCGGCCAGUCUCCUCUAGGUGAGUGACCUUCCACAGUUCCCCUCAUCUCAGGUCUUCUGCUCACUCUCUCUCACUGACUUCUCCAAAGUCUCUCAUCUCAGAAGUCCUAGUGCUGGGCCAGAAGAUCCUCAGCCGUUUGGCUUUGGGUCAUUCUGGAUUGGGGAUGCCCAGUCCAGAGGGUCACCUCUCGUUUCUCAUGGUGAUUUGUUUAGCAGCAGGGACACCUGCCCUAAACAGUCACCUUCGGAUUUGUGGUCUCUCACUCACCCUUCCUCUCUCAUGGGCCAUGUGACGCUCCCUCUGCACACUCACGGGAGAGAUCAUGCCCAACCACCUCACUUUAUUUUGUAACACUGUUUGGCAACAACAUAAACUAGAUAAUAAAUCUCAAUGGCUUGAAAACAACACUUUCAAUUUUAAUACACUGAGCAAUUUACAUAAUUGCUGCCCCUGCAAUGGAAAAUGGUCAGAGAUUCCCUAUGCCCAGGCCUUUUCACCCUCCAGUCCCAAUCCUCUCUCUCAGUCCUGCUCUACCCAUUUUACCCCUAACAAUCCUGAUUCUGAAUCUACUCUAGACCCAGCAGACCACCAACCUCCACCCCCUUACACAUCCCCUCCCUCACCUGCAGUAGAUUCCCAAAACCCAGACCCUCUUAACCAGAAACCACCUUCUCCCCAGUCCCUGAAAGCCCAAAUCCUGAGAACAUGAGCUCUAAUACAGCCUUUCCCAUCUAACACUCAUUCUCAGGCCACCCAAAGACUGUCUUCCUCAAUAGCCUCUUCUAUUACCACCUCCAUUCUACCCCUGAGGGAGGCAGCAGGAACCGAGGGCAUAGUCUGAGUCCACGUCCCAUUCUCUAUGUCCAGCCUCACAGAUUGAGAGGCAUCUCAGGUCUUUCUCCACUGACCCGACCACCUUUACUAAGGAGCCUGACCCAGUCCUAUGUCCUGACUUGCUUGGCAUGACAUCUAUGUCGCCCUGUCCUCCUCUACAGAAAUUUACCACCUUAGACCCCACCUCCCCAGAGAGAGAGCCCUUCUUCUAAGCACCCAUUUUGUAGCCCAAUCAGCCUCCGACAUACGCUACAAACUUCAAAAAUAGACACAGGUCCACAAACCCCUCAAAAAGACCUCGUUAACCUGACCUUUAAGGUCUUUAAUAAUAGAGACGAGGAGACCCAAAUCCAAAAGCAAAGGUGAGAUCGGGCCAAGGCUGAGGCCCAGAGGAGGCCUUUCAGCUCCCGGCCACCGCUCUCAUGAGCCCCAAACGAAGGGCCGGUUCUCCAACUGCAGGUAAGUCAGGCGCUAAGCCUCCUCCGGGCCGAUGUUUCAAAUGCAGCAAGGGAGGACACUGAGCCAAGUCCUGCCCAAACCCGAGACCCCCACCUGGGCCCUGCCCAAGGUGAGGAAGGGAAAGGCCACUGGAAAUCAGACUGUAGUCUGGCCUUCUGGUUCAGGCCUCAGCCAGUCCAGCAUGGCCGCCCUCUGGAUCCGGGUUGGAGCUCCCAGACCUCCUGGGACUGGCCACCGAAGAAGCUGCCCAGGCCCUGACGCGGCCCCACAGACUUACAUCACGAGGACAGAGCCUCCGGUAACGACUGUGGUGGCAGGUAAGCAGAUCUCCUUUUAAUGGACCCUGGGGCCACUUAUUCUGCCCUCCCCGAAUCGCUGGGACCCUUGUCCCCUCCGCAGUCUCUGUUAUGGGGGUUGACGGAUCAGCCUCACAGCCAUGAGCCACCUCCCCUCCGCACUGCGUCUCACUAGAUCCCCCUUCACUUUUCUCAUUCUACCUGGGUGCCCGGCCAGGGCUACUACAUAUCCCCUCAUAAAGCCCGCUUGUCCCAAAGCCACAGUCACCUGCGUCAGCUUCACUCUCUUACGCCACAAGGCCGAGCCAUUCCUGGGACUGUAAACGCCGCAUCUCCUUAUCUCCUCCAUGACUGCCCCUCCUCUGAACAAGAAAUUUUCUCCUUUCUCAGGCUCACUGGGUACUCUUGCCUCCAGGUUCACAACUUUAGUUUUCUUGCACAGCUCCUCUGCGACAUGACAUGGUGAAGGGACUCCUUCAUUGAGCCUUUAGAUCCCAAGGCCAACAUUCUCACCCCUUUAAUGCUCUGAAAAAUGUUAGUCUAAGAAAUGUUGGCUGUUUACUUUUCGGUUAUAAUUGAAAAGUUAAAGUUUCUAAGAGUGAAGAAUUCUAAUACCUUUUAAAGAAAAAAGAAAGAAUAUUAGAGUAGAAAUACUUAAUGGAAGGUCUGAGACAUGGUAUGCAUUUUUGAAGGACAUGGAAGGAAGGUUUGAAGGCUAAUUUGAAAGUGUGAAAUUUGUGAAGGUUGCCUAUGUGAUGAGAAGUAAAGGAGAAAUGUUGAAAGAAAGAGGUUCUAAAGUUAACUAUUUACAAGAAUUGUAAAAGGGCCAUUUUACUCUGAGCAAGAAAGUGAGGUUUCAGUCUCUAAGCCUGGAUACUUCUUAAGCUAAACCAGAAUAUUCAGAAAAACAGCAAGGAUUAAGGUUCAGUAAAAUAAGACGUUAAGUCAGCGAGUGGCAGUUUAUAACCUCAGGAAAUUUCAAGUACUAAAUUUGGCUGGUCUGAGUGCAGUGUCUGACUUCUUAUCCAACCAUCCUGGCCGCUGGUCUCAACUGCUCCUUUCCUUCCCUUUCUCUUUUCCCUUGGAUAACAGCCCAUCCUAGCAUUCCCUCCCACUUUCACUGCAAUCCAAUCUCAACCACUCAUCUGUCUCCCCUUAUUGGUAGCGCCAUGGCGACUACUCUCUCAGCUUGUAGUGCGGAACUAGAAAAAAGAAACUCAUAUCCUUUAGUCCACCUCUUCUCCUUACAACUAUCAGCUUGUCUCCGUGAUCAGGGAUUUUUCUUCCUCUGUGGGGAAAACACAUACAUCUGUCUCCCCAUCAGCUGGACAGGAACUUGUACUCUCUUCUCUCACCCAAUGUAGAUGUAGCCCCCAAUAAUCAGUCUUUACUUGUCCCUGUAACCCAUCAUAGCUGACACAAAAGAGGAGUCCAGAUAAUCCCUCUCCUCAUAACCCUGGGCACACCAGCAGGGGCUGGAACUGCCAUUGGGAGCUUAACCACUGAUCUACAAGAAACAUGUGGGUGCCCAGCAAGGGGCAAAACUGGGAAAACAAGAACCUCAUCCCCAGGGUAACCUGUUCUCCCCUUUCAUAUCACUAGUGAGGCAACUGAGACCCCUAUUCUUUUCCCUCCUAAAACGGUCUCAGUUGUAUUUUAGCUCCAGGCCCAGAAAAGCAGCAAAACCAGACAAGUGAUGCUGUGGCAGCCUCAGGCCCAGCCUUUACCUCCCAGUCACUCCACAGCAUCACUCUGAGCCUUCACCAGCCCGUCUCGGGGAGACCAUGCUGCUGCGCCCCUCACUCCAACCAGAAGGAACCUGUACAACCUUCCAGCUGACUACAGUCAAAGGCCAGCCCCCUGUGAUCUUGACAUCCAGACUCAGCAGCAAGUAACUACAGAAGAUAUGACCUUUGUCCCUAUUCCGUAAAACAAAAAGGCUGGAAUGUUAGGUUUGAUGGAGCAAUUGAGUUGAUACUCUUCCCCCAGGAACUGGCUUUUCAGGUCAUUUCACAAUGGACAUUCCCUUUGACCACAUUCCAUUCUCUCUCCCCCGGGUCUGCAUAAAGAAGUGUCCACCCAGAAAAAGUCCCACCAAAAGUCCUUUAAAAGCCGCUGACUGCCCUCACUGGGUGCUGGAGCCAUCCAGGCUCAGCCACUUGGUGUGUGGAUGAUCAAAUAAAUCCGUAAUCCCUAACCA